rnacentral:rRNA from 1 species
UACGGGGGGGGCAAGCGUUGUUCGGAAUUAUUGGGCGUAAAGGGUUCGUAGGUGGCCGGCUAAGUCAGACGUGAAAUCCCUCAGCUUAACUGGGGAACUGCGUCUGAGACUGGUCGGCUUGAGUGCAGGAGAGGAACGCGGAAUUCCAGGUGUAGCGGUGAAAUGCGUAGAUAUCUGGAGGAACACCGGUGGCGAAGGCGGCGUUCUGGACUGUUACUGACACUGAGGAACGAAAGCCAGGGGAGCAAACGGG